GACGAACGCUGGCGGCGUGCCUAAUACAUGCAAGUUGAGCGCUGAAGGUUGGUACUUGUACCAACUGGAUGAGCAGCGAACGGGUGAGUAACGCGUGGGGAAUCUGCCUUUGAGCGGGGGACAACAUUUGGAAACGAAUGCUAAUACCGCAUAAAAACUUUAAACACAAGUUUUAAGUUUGAAAGAUGCAAUUGCAUCACUCAAAGAUGAUCCCGCGUUGUAUUAGCUUGUUGGUGAGGUAAAGGCUCAACAAGGCGAUGAUACAUAGCCGACCUGAGAGGGUGAUCGGCCAAAUUGGGACUGAGACACGGCCCAAACUCCUACGGGAGGCAGCAGUAGGGAAUCUUCGGCAAUGGACGAAAGUCUGACCGAGCAACGCCGCGGGAGUGAAGAAGGGUUUCGGAUCGUAAAACUCUGUUGGUAGGGAAGAACGUUGGUGAGAGUGGAAAGCGCAUCAAGUGACGGUAACUACCCAGAAAGGGACGGCUAACUACGUG
rnacentral:rRNA from 1 species